ensembl:lncRNA
UUUUCUUCCCUCAUCCAUCCAUUUAGGGUAUGCAAUCUACUGCAACACCUUUGAGGGGAGACGUUUCAUAACUCCUCUCUAUGACGGCGGUUUGGUUUCGUACGACCAAAGCAACCGGGUUUGAGCAGGAGACUGGAGACACAACAGUAGGGAAAGACAAGACGACGGGGGACCUUUGAAGUUGCCGGUGCCAUUUUAAAUAAUCAUGAAAAGAAGGGAACGAAGGAAAACACAAAGUACACGGGCCCCAUCUCAAAGACGAUGCAGGGGGAACCUGUUACUCACUUUCACUGGAGGCUGAUCGGUCUCUCUUGAAUUAUUUUUUGAUGUGUCGAUAUGAAAUGAGUAAACAAAAUUUCUGUGCAUGUAAUGGGAUCUUAAACACAUUUAUUUUGUCCCUCUUUGAACUGAAUGAGAGUUCUUUGGUUUCUUUGCCAUUUUUUGGGAAUUAAAUUUUGAGUAAAUUAAACGUAAGAUCAGAGGAAAGCCCCCGCUGUGACGACAGCGCUGGAAGUGAUAUGUAGUUAUUAAUAUAGACCACAGUGGGUAUAUUAACAAUCUACAUCCGUAUCCAGUCAGUCAUCUCAUUUCUAUGCUGCUAGAUCCUUGUUACAAUGCAUACUUGUUUCCACAGAAAAUGGACGUUCAUAGUUUAUCUUUUUAGUAUGGAUUGGAAAAACUGUUUCUAAAAAACAUACAUUUUAAAACGUUCUUUUUUCAAUGGGGUGAUGUAGAUAAACAGAGAUGAGACAUCUCAGCUCUUCACACUCAUUGAGCUGCUUACUCAAAAUCAAGCAAAAAGGAUUUUAAAGUAAUUUGUAUUCAUUUGUGUAUAUAUAUAUUAGUGUUUAGUAGCAGAAAUGUACAAAAUGUAACAGGAGAUAAGCACAAUAAACGAGGUGUGUGUGUGCAUUUGUCUGUGUAUCUGUGUCUAUUGAGCAGAUGAGUGACAAUGUCGUCACUGUGUGCUUUGUGUAAAUACUCUUUUUUUGUCUCGAUGUCGUCAGAUGGACGUCAGAUGGACGGCAGAUCCCGGCGCCUCUUCCUCUCCGUUUUUUCUCAGUCUUCAUCGUCAGACGAAUCCUCCUCUAGUUCACUGGUGCGAUCGAGCAAGUGCUCCACAGCCUCCAGGGCUCCCUUUUUAUUUCUG